rnacentral:tRNA from 2 species
GCAGUCGUGGUCGUGGGCGAAGGACUAGAAAUCCAUUGGGUCUCCCCGCACAAGUUCGAAUCCUGUCGACUGUG